UACGGAGGAUGCAAGCGUUAUCCGGAAUGAUUGGGCGUAAAGCGUCCGCAGGUGGCUGUGUAAGUCUGCUGUCAAAGAGCGAAGCUCAACUUCGUAAAGGCAGUGGAAACUACACGGCUAGGGUGCGUUCGGGGCAGAGGGAAUUCCUGGUGUAGCGGUGAAAUGCGUAGAGAUCAGGAAGAACACCGGUGGCGAAGGCGCUCUGCUAGGCCGCAACUGACACUGAGACGCGAAAGCGUGGGGAGCAAACAGG
rnacentral:rRNA from 1 species